UACGUAGGGCGCAAGCGUUGUCCGGAAUUAUUGGGCGUAAAGGGUGCGUAGGCGGAUCGAUCAGUCAGAUGUGAAAGCCCAAGGCUCAACCUUGGAAUUGCAUUUGAUACUGUCAGUCUGGAGUAUUGGAGAGGAGCGUGGAAUUCUCAGUGUAGAGGUGAAAUUCGUAGAUAUUGAGAGGAACACCAGUGGCGUAGGCGACGCUCUGGCCAAAUACUGACGCUGAGGCACGAAAGUGUGGGGAGCAAACAGG
rnacentral:rRNA from 1 species